rnacentral:piRNA from 1 species
UAGAGUGAUAUGUUGAGAACA